rfam:Paraphaeosphaeria sporulosa strain AP3s5-JAC2a unplaced genomic scaffold CC84scaffold_3, whole genome shotgun sequence.
UCUUCCUUGGUCUAGUGGUCAUGAUUUCCGCUUGUCAUUCUUACCAGCAAGAAAACAAGCGCGGGAGACCGGGGUUCGAUUCCCCGAGGGAGAG